rnacentral:rRNA from 1 species
AUUGAACGCUGGCGGCAGGCCUAACACAUGCAAGUCGAGCGAGCGGCGGACGGGUGAGUAAUGUAUGGGGACUGCCCGUUAGAGGGGGAUAACUACUGUAAACGGUGUCUAAUACCGCAUACUGUCUGAUUACCCAUAUGUGAUUUGCUGGUGGGUAAGGUAAUGGCUUACCAAGGCGACGAUCCCUAGCUGGUCUGAGAGGAUGAUCAGCCACACUGGGACUGCGACACGGCCCAGACUCCUACGGAGGCAGCAGUGGGGAAUAUUGCACAAUGGGCGCAAGCCUGAUGCAGCCAUGCCGCGUGUAUGAAGAAGGCCCUAGGGUUGUAAAGUACUUUCAGUCGGGAGGCGUUACCGACAGAAGAAGCACCGGCUAACUCCGUGCCAGCAGCCGCGGUAAUUC